rnacentral:lncRNA from 1 species
GUGUUGUUUGCUCAAUUUUGUAUGUCGCGACCUAGGCUUCCCUAGCAAUCGAUGAGACCUGUUAUUUCAUCUCAACAAUAGACUAAAUAUUUUAGUCCAGUGCAUUAAGUGUACGAUCAUCCAAACAUUAGUUUGUUUCGAGGGCCCCUGAAACUCCAGUUUUUCUAGGCAGAGGUAUAGACAUAUCAAGUUCAUUGACCAACUGUGCAAACUUCACUAUUAGGCGUAUCUUCCAAGAA